ACAUAAGAACUGCCACAAUGGGUCAGACCAAUGGUCCAUCUGGCCCAGAAUCCUGUCUACAACAGUGGCCAAAACCAGUAUGCCCCU